rnacentral:sRNA from 1 species
AGAUGCCGGGUUUCCAAGGUCGUUAUUCGAUGCGUUGGUGAGGAGGUUAAUGGGGGAUCCUGCAUCGGUGGGUCUGGGGAAGGUUUGUGAGGAGAUUAAAUGGGCAAGUUUUGAUAGAGAUACUACUGUGAGCUGGGUUGGGGAAAGUUAUCUGGAGGCUAACGCGCCAGAUCCAACGAUGGCGAUGGAUCGUGCCCAAUUCAUGGAGAGCUGGAAGGAUCUUUUGCCGGAGUCGUGGAGGUGCAGAGCUACGUGGGAUAAUUUGAAGAACGACUGCCACCAAUACCCCGAUCCGGCGAGCGUUUGUUAUAAGCCAAGGGCUGAACCCAAAGCUACUCGUUCAGGACUCAAAAAACAUGGGUGAAACAUGAAAACCAGUGAUAAAUUCCAUUACCAUACGAAAAUGUACUGGAAAUGGGUCACCUAAACAACCAAAAGUCAACGAUAUCGACUCCAGAUAAUCUGAGUACCCCCCCUGUGGUCUAUGGGCAUUAAAGCCGGUAAUUAAAGGCACCGCCCUUUAAAACAUCAACCAACCUCUUGACAUACAGAUAGAAAAUUAAAAACCGGAGAUGCAUGAGAAGGAGCUCGGGGCUCAACUUCAGAAAACAAAAAUCAAGGUUCAACACCAGGCGUACUUCUCGUUCCAAUACCAGUCAACGUCCUCGCCUAGCCCAAGCUGCUUGCCAUUCCAUUUCAGGCUGCAUAUGCUGGUUUGUUCCCUAUGCUCUAUUUGCGCCGUCGGACUCAACAUUUUAACAGCUUUUUCGACGACUGGAGUCGGAUUCCAAAUAUCAACACGGCUCCUGCCCCACUCAUGUGCCUCCAACUGAGCGCAAUAGAGAGCUGCAGCCAGCGCCUCAACUACCGCUUUCUCUUCGGCUGGCGACCUUGGUUCCUCGUACAACGUUCGCAGUAUGAACAGCACGUUGUCCUUCUCAGCGUUUCCAAAGUUCCGAUUCCAACAAAUGAAAACCUUACGGCUUUCAACGCAGGCGCCCUUCACUUUAGGCUCGCCCUUGCCAGGAAACAGAAUCUUCGAGUAGAACUCCUCUCGAGCCCAAUGCCAGCUCAAAGCUGCAUAAUCAGGCACAAAUGCAACCUUGGCCCUUUUUGAAUUGUGGGACGCCUCCCGUAAGAUUUGUUGGUACUUCUCAAGUGCCGCAUCGGAGCACAUGAGCCGUCUGACGUCGUCGGCCUGCAUUUCCCCAGCCAUGCCUAAAUCGACUCCAGAAACGCUCUGCUUUCCUUUAUCUUUGGAGACGGGUGGGAGACUGAUGUGCGAGGAAGGGAAGGCUUUCCAGCCACGUUCCGCAUAAAAAGAUUUGCCGAUAUCCGAAUAGAGGACAGAAAAUACACCCCUCUUCCGCACCGAAUCCUCCUGUUGCCAUGUGUCCAACCUCUUCGCGAGCUCAGAAAUCAUCCGCCCCGCGUAACCCCGACGUCGAAACUCUGGCUUUGAAAAGACACUUCCAACGCCAUGGGCCAGGAUCUGCUCGACUUUCCCGUCGUGGGCUAGCCAGGCGCGUUUGCUAAAGGACUCGCAGCUGCUGAGAAUGGGACGGUUAUCGGGGGGCAAGUGGCGGUCGACGAGGAUCCAUAGGGUCAUUGCGCCGUCCUUGGUCAUGUCCUGGUUCAUGAGAUGGUUCUCGCGCUGGACGUACUGAUCGGCAUCCAGCACGCCUUUCCAUUCCCGGCUGUUUGCUUUCAGACAUUCGAUACGUUCUGCGGGGGUGGGGACGACGAGAGUGAGAUCCGCAGAGUCUGACAGAGGCAUGGGGCAAUCGGAGGAACCCAUGGUUUUUAAAGGUUCAGUUCCUAACUUUAUCUUGUGUUGUUUCCUUUUGGAUCAAGUGCCGUCCGAGAGAGAGGGAUGUAUAAAUGAGACAGAUAUGAGUAUAUAAUGUAUUCCAUCGGUCCCAAGGUAUCUGGAUGGGCAAAGAAGGGAGGUUUGUAGGCAUGGAUGGAGCUACCCAGGCAGGUAGAAUAAACGGAAACAAGGAUACAGAACCCCGAUUCGCGAGAAUGGCCGAGUCAGCAACCUUCCCAUGCAGGGUGCGCCGCCGUUUCUGGGCAGUGGCAGCCCUGGGCCAUUGCCGUUGGGCCCAACGUGCUUGGCAUUUAUUAGUAAUACACACACUCUCUGUCUUUCGUGGCAAUAUAUCACAAUGCUAAGCAGGCCCAAGGCUGAUUUGAGAGCUGGAUUGGGAACUCGAAGCUGUCCGUGUAUGUAGGCUACUUGCUAAUAGGGAAAAAUUCACCGCCCAUUGAGAAGAGAGAUGCUGAGAGGUCUUACAAUUCAACUUGUUACUAAGUAUAGCGGG